UUUGAUGGGCAAUAUGUAAACAAAAAUCAUUGUUAGUUGUAUUUAUUAGAGUUUGUAACCUACUCUGUUUUUUUGUUUAGGUAAUUUCACUGAUCUUGGUUGUCAUCUUCAUUUUCUUCGUAAGCAUCUGCGAAAGUAAGUUUGUAAAUUGUUAAAUGGCUGGCCCUGUACUUUGUAUUUGUUUAGCUGGCUCAAUAUAUGUGUCGUUGAGUUUUAGUUGAGUUAAUUGGUUUGGUAUAUUUGUUUUGAACUUUAUUUGUAAGAUUAGACAAAAAGAGAGGUGAUCAUUAAUGAUUCGUCUUUUUUGGAAUUCUAGUUUUUGGUGUUUUGAUUGUUUGUGUUAUUGUAGUUUCUUUUAAACUGUAAAAUAAAGAUUUGUGUAAAAUUAGAUUGAUAAGUA
rnacentral:lncRNA from 1 species